GUCGAGAAUCUUCCGCAAUGCGCGAAAGCGUGACGGAGCGACACCGCGUGAUGGAUGAAGUCCUUCGGGGCGUAAACAUCUUUUAUAAAGGAGGAAAUUUUUGACGUUACUUUAUGAAUAAGGGGCUCCCAAUCUCGUGCCAGCAGGAGCGGUAAUACGAGAGCCUCAAGCGUUAUCCGGAAUCAUUGGGCGUAAAGGGUGCGUAGGUGGUUUGAUUAGUCUCCCGUUAAAACUUCGAGCUUAACUCGAAAAGAGCGGGGGAAACGGUCAAACUAGAGUAUGUGAGAGGUGUGUGGAACUCAUGGUGUAGGGGUGAAAUCCGUUGAUAUCAUGGGGAACACCAAAAGCGAAGGCAGCACACUGGCACAUCACUGACACUGAGGCACGAAACCUAAGAUAGCGAAUGGGAUUAGAAACCCUUGUAGUCC
rnacentral:rRNA from 1 species